rnacentral:lncRNA from 14 species
UAUUGGCAUAUUCAUGAAGGCAAAAAGGGAGCAUGAGGACACCCAAACAAAUUUAAAUUUCAAUUUGAGUGAAUACUUUCUGUAGGUUUAGCCUGGUGCUAUUCAAAAUGCAAUGCUUCUGAAUCAGAAGUGGUAAACUUACAAGGCAGAGUGCUGGAAGUUAUCCAUGGACAUCCUGUUCUUAUUAGACAGGGGCUGAAACAUUCUGACAGCUUUCAAACCUACUGAAAUAUUAUUCAUUAAAAGUUUUGAUGUCAAUUCCAGCAUUAAUGGGAGCACAUCUUACUUAUCUCUUUGACUAUGAAAAAGAAGGAAGACAGAAGUGAUCUGAUGAAAAACAGGGUGAGAAAAGAAGCAGAGAGAGAAAAGAAAGAGACACCCUGGGAAAGCAGCAGAGAAAAGGGAAUGAAAAAAAUCCCCAUUUUUAUGCUGGACUGCCUAUGGAGCAAUGUGAAGCUGGCUCUAAGUGUUACCUCCAAAGAGAAGCAAAGCCUUGCAGCACUCCAACCUGCGAUGUCAAUGUAUCUUCUAGGGGUAGUCUGAUCAGGAAGAUGAUUUUUGAGGGUGAGCCUCAUCACUGGUACUUCAGGUAAACGCAAGUGGGGGAUAGAGAGAGAAUUCACCUUAAUUUCCUUCAGAAGAGGAGAUGUAAUGGUUUGAUGUGAUUAGUGAUUUAAUGGUUUCAUGAUCCAGAGCUGUCCCAGCCAGAACAAGUCACAUUGACUUCUGGACAGGAGGGUUUCUGGAAGGUCAAGACAGAAGCAGGAGCUGCAUGGGUGCCAGUCCCAUUGCCCACUGAGGUCCCAUGUGGUGGCUGUCAAAGGAAACCUUUCAGAUGGGUCUCAUCUCUAGAUCUGUGUAAUCAAGUGCAUUACACUGAUGUGAUGUUGCUAAUUUCUCUGAGGAGCUGUAGCAGUAUGCUGUGUUCCUUCACAGGUGUGUCACUUUUCUGCCGUCUGGGUAUCAUGAAUGAGAGUGGCAAUGGUGAUGGCAGGGGGACAAUUCAAGGGGUAUAAUCCCACAUGGGAGCUCCCCCUUCUGUGUAUGCGAAGGAAUAGGGGCUAAUUCCUGGUGGGACACAGAAGAAAAACUCAUUUCUCACUGGGUAAACUAAGAAUGGAAGAACAUGAGAGUUUGUCUCUGAAUUUACCUAUUCCAGUUUGCAAACAUAAUGAGUUGUAAAUAAGAGUGUUUUGAUGAGGUUUUCUUUACAAAUGAAGAAAGACUCUUCUGUAACCAUGCGCUGUUACCUGUAUGAUAGCAACACCCUGUCUGUAUGGCUGUUUGAAAUGAGUAGAACUGAUGUUGAGAAAUGAAAUAAAAAUAUCACUAAAUUAAUUGUGUUAUAUUGA